AGUUGAACUCAACAGAGAAACCAGCGGUGGAGUUGAAUGUUCUGGACUUCCAUGUUCAUAUCAAAGGCUUCAUGCACACUGUAUGAACGGGUGUAUACAGGUGUAGACAUGAACAGGUGUAGAUAUGAUAAAGGUGUAGAUAUGAACAGGUGUAGAUAUGAACAGGUGUAGAUAUGAACAGGUGUAUACAGGUAUAGAUAUGAACAGGUGUAUACAGGUAUAGAUAUGAAC